ensembl:miRNA
UGGACGAGGAAGUGGGCUCAGUGAUUCUGAUCUACUCAGUGUGCUUCCACCUCUACC